UGCCAGUUUUCAAACCUUGCUGUUCCUGG
rnacentral:piRNA from 1 species